rnacentral:rRNA from 1 species
GACGAACGCUGGCGGCGUGCUUAACACAUGCAAGUCGAACGGAAAGGCCCUGCUUGCAGGGUACUCGAGUAGCGAACGGGUGAGUAACACGUGGGUGAUCUGCCCUGCACUUCGGGAUAAGCCUGGGAAACUGGGUCUAAUACCGGAUAGGAGCCAUUUUUAGUGUGAUGGUUGGAAAGUUUUUUCGGUGUAGGAUGAGCUCGCGGCCUAUCAGCUUGUUGGUGGGGUAAUGGCCUACCAAGGCGGCGACGGGUAGCCGGCCUGAGAGGGUGGACGGCCACAUUGGGACUGAGAUAAGGCCCAGACUCCUACGGGAGGCAGCAGUGGGGAAUAUUGAACAAUGGGCGCAAGCCUGAUGCAGCGACGCCGCGUGGGGGAUGACGGCCUUCGGGUUGUAAACUCCUUUCGCUAGGGACGAAGCUUUUUGUGACGGUACCUAGAGAAGAAGCACCGGCUAACUACGUG